AGCAGCCGCGGUAAUUCCAGCUCCAAUAGCGUAUAUUAAAGUUGUUGCAGUUAAAAAGCUCGUAGUUGAAUUUCGGGAUCAAUGCGUCGGUCGUGCUUUCGGGUACGUACUGGUGUCAUUGGUUUCUCCUUUCUGACGAGCCGUGAUGUCAUUAAUUUGGUGUUACGGGUAGUUAGGACUGUUACUUUGAAAAAAUUAGAGUGUUUAAAGCAGGCAUUCGCUUGAAUACAUUAGCAUGGAAUAAUGAAAUAGGACGUUCGACCCUAUUUUGUUGGUUUCUAGGAUCAACGUAAUGAUUAAUAGGGAUAGUUGGGGGCAUUAGUAUUCAAUUGUCAGAGGUGAAAUUCUUGGAUUUAUUGAAGACUAACUACUGCGAAAGCAUUUGCCAAGGAUGUUUUCAUUAAUCAAGAACGAAAGUUAGGGAUCGAAGACGAUCAGAUACCGUCGUAGUCUUAACCAUAAACUAUGCCGACUAGGGAUCGGAUGAUGUUAAUUUUUAAUGUACUCAUUCGGCGCCUUA
rnacentral:rRNA from 1 species